ensembl:lncRNA novel transcript
AGAGAACAAGAAAGCCUUAUGUGGACUGGAACAAAACGUUCACCUAAGCCAGUAAGAGCCUCUCUUUGGGAAAUCUGAACCAGGGACCAGAAAGAAAUUGUUGGCUGGUGUUAGGUGCCUGUGCUGAAAGGCCAGGCACCAUCCACUUGGCUCUGGACGACGCCCUGCCUGGCUGAGCUGCCCUGGGAGCUGUCAACACGGGUGUGCGUGCUGGUAUUCCAGAGGCUGCAUGCUCACCUGUGGGUGCUGUGGGAGCAAGGACAGUCGCACUGGGAGAAAGGUUGUACUAACCAGGUGCCAGGCUGUGGUCUAAGUGCUCACAAACAUUAGCUCAUGUAAUUCUCAUCAGAACUCUGUGAGGGUCUCUCUCUCUGUUGCCUGGGCUGGAGUCCAGUGGCAUGAUUCCAGCUCACUGCAGCCUCAAACUCCUGGGCUCAAGCGAUCCUCCUGCUGCAGUCUCCUGAGUAGCUGGGACUACAGGUGCACACCACCGUGCCCAGCUAAGUUUUUUUUUUUUAGUUUAUAUGGGGUCUCACUAUGUUGCCCAACCU